ensembl:lncRNA
CUUUUUUGUGUUGCUGAAGGAGCUUGUAAAAUACUCGACAGUUCAUAGAUUUUUUGAACUGCAGCCCAUAAACAUGGCAGAACCAAUUUGGAGCUAAUUUUACAGUGACACAGGUUGCCAGAAAGGACCGUUAAUUAAAGAAAUCUUUGCUCUGUCGCCUACAGUAAUACUGAUUAAAGGAUUUCCCUUCUAGAUCUUUCAGAUGUAUGCUGUGUAUGAACUUGCAUGAUCUAAAACAGAGGUAAGGAAAAGACUUGAGGUUUUUGAAGAGGAGAGGAGGUAUGUUUUUCACCUUUUUGAAAAUGCUCUGAGCUAAGAACCAAAUUUAAACUUGGCAUAGGCGGGUAGCUUGUUAAAGCCUGGACUGAAGCAGGAGCCACACUAGUGCACAUAUUAGUAGUUAUUCCUGAGAGUAUUUGAGAAGUCAAACUGUGAGGCGACAGUCUGAGCAGUAGCCUUUUCCUGGUGAGACUUGGAGCAGUGACAUUAGGCGCGUAUUAAGGGAGACUGCGGCUGUUGUUUUUUGGGUUAUAAAUCAGUAAGUAAUAUGGCAAGCACAUACCUUACUUUUAUACUAACUAAUAUUAACGCUUUUCUCUGAUUUAUGUAGUGGAAAGCUUUUUUCUUCAAACCUGACCAAAGGUGCAGUUUCAAGUGAGGAACUGUUCUAAACCAGUUGCAGUGAGCAGUUUGAGCCCAGAAUUAUGAGAGACGUUCAUAGGGAACUUGACAAGGAAUAUCAGCCUCAUUUUAGAAGAAAUGAAAUGGAAAACAUAAUUUCAGGAUAAUCUCUGUAUUCACAUGAUUAUAAUAGUCACAUGCAAGUCUAUGCAUUGGGAUCCCUGCAAUCAAGCUAACGAGCUCACCGGAGGUUUGUGGUGUUACCAGGGCACUUUCGGUCGGAGUUGCUCUGCGCUCCCCUCCUGCAGCUCCUCCAGGCACCAGAAGCUCCAGAGAAGGGGUAAUGGCCAGCUGAGGUGAUUCAGAGCCAGUUUGGAGGACGCCAUAACAAGUGACUGUCUGAGGUUUGUGUUCUCGCAGGAGGGGAUGGAUGGCGCUAGCACAGCGGCCGAGAGAGUUGCACUUGCCUUUCCGAAUGGGUAGGUGGUGGUAAGUAGGACGCUCUGCCGUCCACACCUGGAUGCGGAUGAAAUCCUCCCAUCUCAGCCAGCCUUUCGGUGCCACUGCAUGCUGUUGAAAUUUUGAGGCAUCUGUAUCCUGCUUAGGAAGGGGUUUAUCUCAGCCAUGGGUGAAUUAACUGCUAUGUUGAUUAGAUUUGCAAAAUCUUUCGGGAUGAAAGUAUUAAGUAAAUACAAAAUGAUUAAAAUCCAACUCUGACUGAUUGUACCAUCAAACUGAAAAUGCAGUUCUCCUGUGUGUUUUCUCUUCUGGUUGAGAAAUCAGUGAGCUUAGGAAAACUGUGGAGUAGAAGUCAGUAAGAUGAUGAUUAUACUCGCUUUUUUGUUUCUUAAGUGACUACGUGUAAGACCUGGACAAAUUCUGCAAUGAGUGGACGACCAAGGACUGUGUCCUUUAACUGGGAUGUCCACCACAUAAAAAGUAAAUCGUCUCCAACAUUAGAAACCUAUAUUUCAACACUAAUUAAAAAUAGUGCAUUAGCACUUCACUUAUUUGCAAACUGUACGUAAGCUCCCAGGAUAAACGUGGAGUUUCUCCUGUGAGAAGUGAUGGGUCCCCCGGGAGAUCUUUUCCCCGUGUCCAUUGGUCAUGGCAGUGAGUCCUUGAUUAGCCGCUGACAUAAGAAAUUAUGGGGGUCACCGAGGUUAAUGAAAGGCUUCUUUAUAUAGCCAUGCCCAUGCACUGUCUCCCUCCGUCCUCUUCGGCACUGGGUAGUAUGGUGACCUCAGUGACAAAGUCAAGAGAGAAAAUAUGCAACACGAUAUCAGUACAUGCUAAUCAGCGGUUCUCUGCUAAUAUCUAAUUAUUUAAUAAAGGGGCAAUGAGUUAUUUGCA